rnacentral:rRNA from 1 species
AACGAACGCUGGCGGCAGGCCUAACACAUGCAAGUCGAGCGCCCAGCAAUGGGAGCGGCAGACGGGUGAGUAACGCGUGGGAACCUUCCUGAUAGUACGGAAUAGCCCAGGGAAACUUGGAGUAAUACCGUAUACGCCCGUAAGGGGAAAGAUUUAUCGCUAUCAGAUGGGCCCGCGUAGGAUUAGCUAGUUGGUGAGGUAAUGGCUCACCAAGGCGACGAUCCUUAGCUGGUUUGAGAGAAUGACCAGCCACACUGGGACUGAGACACGGCCCAGACUCCUACGGGAGGCAGCAGUGGGGAAUCUUGGACAAUGGGCGCAAGCCUGAUCCAGCCAUUCCGCGUGCAGGAUGAAGGCCUUCGGGUUGUAAACUGCUUUUGUACGGUAACGAAACGGCGAGCUCUAAUACAGUUUGCUAAUGACGGUACCGUAAGAAUAAGCACCGGCUAACUACGUG